CAUGUAUCACGAACCAGCGGGUCUGUAGGACCCGCAAUAACCCUUCUAAGGAAGGUCUGGUACGGAAUGUUCGAAUCCUGAAGCCAGGCCCACUUACUCAGGCGUCUACAUGUCGACGACACUUCUUGCUAGCAGGACGUCUUCAUUGUCGGACCCUCUGUUCCAUUUCUUAUACCACACGUGGGAGGAACGAAUGCCUGCGACGGGUCGGACCGUCCCCCACUCCUCCUUUCUUGCUUCUCGGAACACUGUGAUGUCGCUCGACGGAAUUUCCAGCACGGAACCGCCAACACCAUCGCAAGCAUUUUUGCCGUGACCACUAGCAGAAUACAACCAUUUCACUAGCAGCCUGUUCUUCGUUAUCUCGUACAGCUGAUACCUAUUCUUGAAGUGCGCAGCUGCACCGUCUGAGAUGCAGAUGAGAUGCGUGAACACAGGUAGGAUUUCUUCCAGGGCCUCAACUAUCCUGUCCAGGGCUAGAAGUAUGUGCGCCGUGUCAUGGGACAUGUCGUCGCUCACCGUUGCGAAGCUCGUUGUCAACACAGGUAUUGUUGCCACGCAAGUGAAUAAAGAAAUUCGAUCUGUUUUCCA